AUAUAAAUUGAAAUGACUUACUUAAUAAUAAUUCUAAUCACGAGUUUCCAAAUUAAUCAUUGAAUCUUAAAUAGAAAAUGAAAAGUAUUUUAGCGAAAAAAAAAAAGAAACUUUUCAUUUCUAUUCACGCAACAGAAAAUUUUCGCAAUAUCGUGGCAUUCUUCUUCUCUUAAAAAAGACAGGUAUUCGUUAAACGGAAGGAAUUAUCGAAAAAUCGUCCAACUAUUAUCUUUCACCGCCUCCAUCCGAGCGAUAGCAUAAUCUCGCCUCGUUUCGUGUCAAUAUAAGACGAAACUUCAUCCCUUCCCCAACGUGGAUGCGUUGCACCAUCCUCAGACUUUUUAAUUGCGAAUCUUUCCACCAAGAAAUAUCGUGACUGUCGUCCAGUCGUCGAGGGGAGGAUGGAAUAAAAAUUCCACGUCUUAGCAGAGAAAUAAAAUAAAAUAAA